GACGAACGCUGGCGGCGUGCUUAACACAUGCAAGUCGAACGGAAAGGCCUUUUCGGAGGUACUCGAGUGGCGAACGGGUGAGUAACACGUGGGUGAUCUGCCCUGCACUCUGGGAUAAGCCUGGGAAACUGGGUCUAAUACCGGAUAGGACCGCACUUUAGUGUGCGUGGUGGAAAGUUUUUUCGGUGUAGGAUGAGCCCGCGGCCUAUCAGCUUGUUGGUGGGGUAAUGGCCUACCAAGGCGGCGACGGGUAGCCGGACUGAGAGGUUGGUCGGCCACAUUGGGACUGGGAUACGGCCCAGACUCCUACGGGAGGCAGCAGUGGGGAAUAUUGCACAAUGGGCGCAAGCCUGAUGCAGCGACGCCGCGUGGGGGAUGACGGCCUUCGGGUUGUAAACUCCUUUCGCCAGGGACGAAGCGUUUUGUGACGGUACCUGGAGAAGAAGCACCGGCUAACUACGUG
rnacentral:rRNA from 1 species